AAACAUAUUCUCUCUUGAGUGGAUCCUGAGUACGACGGAGCACGUGAAAUUCCGUCGGAAUCUGGGAGGACCAUCUCCUAAGGCUAAAUACUCUCUAGUGACCGAUAGUGAACCAGUACCGUGAGGGAAAGGUGAAAAGUACCCCGGAAGGGGAGUGAAAGAGAACUUGAAACCGUGUGCUUACAAGUAGUCAGAGCCCGUUAAUGGGUGAUGGCGUGCCUUUUGUAGAAUGAACCGGCGAGUUACGAUCUGAUGCAAGGUUAAGCAGCAAAUGUGGAGCCGCAGCGAAAGCGAGUCUGAAUAGGGCGUUGAGUAUUUGGUCGUAGACCCGAAACCAGGUGAUCUACCCUUGGUCAGGUUGAAGUUCAGGUAACACUGAAUGGAGGACCGAACCGACUUACGUUGAAAAGUGAGCGGAUGAACUGAGGGUAGCGGAGAAAUUCCAAUCGAACUUGGAGAUAGCUGGUUCUCUCCGAAAUAGCUUUAGGGCUAGCCUCAAGUGAUGAUUAUUGGAGGUAGAGCACUGUUUGGACGAGGGGCCCCUCUCGGGUUACCGAAUUCAGACAAACUCCGAAUGCCAAUUAAUUUAACUUGGGAGUCAGAACAUGGGUGAUAAGGUCCGUGUUCGAAAGGGAAACAGCCCAGACCACCAGCUAAGGUCCCAAAAUAUAUGUUAAGUGGAAAAGGAUGUGGCGUUGCCCAGACAACUAGGAUGUUGGCUUAGAAGCAGCCAUCAUUUAAAGAGUGCGUAAUAGCUCACUAGUCGAGUGACACUGCGCCGAAAAUGUACCGGGGCUAAACAUAUUACCGAAGCUGUGGAUUGUCCUUUGGACAAUGGUAGGAGAGCGUUCUAAGGGCGUCGAAGCAUGAUCGCAAGGACAUGUGGAGCGCUUAGAAGUGAGAAUGCCGGUGUGAGUAGCGAAAGACGGGUGAGAAUCCCGUCCACCGAUUGACUAAGGUUUCCAGAGGAAGGCUCGUCCGCUCUGGGUUAGUCGGGUCCUAAGCUGAGGCCGACAGGCGUAGGCGAUGGAUAACAGGUUGAUAUUCCUGUACCACCUAGUAUCGUUUUAAUCGAUGGGGGGACGCAG
rnacentral:rRNA from 1 species